rnacentral:rRNA from 1 species
UACGUAGGUGACCAGCGUUGUCCGGAUUUACUGGGCGUAAAGAGCGCGCAGGCGGUCGUUCAAGUCGAGUGUGAAAGCCCCCGGCUCAAUUGGGGAGGGUCACUCGAUACUGAUCGACUUGAAGGCAGGAGAGGGAAGCGGAAUUCCCGGUGUAGUGGUGAAAUGCGUAGAUAUCGGGAGGAACACCGGUGGCGAAGGCGGCAUCCUGGACCGGUAUUGACGCUGAGGCGCGAAAGCCAGGGGAGCAAAGCGGG